GGGUUGUGAGGUUAAGCGACUAAGCGUACACGGUGGAUGCCUUGGCAGUCAGAGGCGAUGAAGGGCGUGCUAAUCUGCGAUAAGCGCCGGUAAGGUGAUAUGAACCGUUAUAACCGGCGAUACCCGAAUGGGGAAACCCAGUGUGAUUCGUCACACUAUCAUUAACUGAAUCCAUAGGUUAAUGAGGCGAACCGGGGGAACUGAAACAUCUAAGUACCCCGAGGAAAAGAAAUCAACCGAGAUUCCCCCAGUAGCGGCGAGCGAACGGGGAGGAGCCCAGAGCCUGAAUCAGCAUGUGUGUUAGUGGAAGCGUCUGGAAAGGCGCGCGAUACAGGGUGACAGCCCCGUACACAAAAGCGCAUGUGCUGUGAGCUCGAUGAGUAGGGCGGGACACGUGGUAUCCUGUCUGAAUAUGGGGGGACCAUCCUCCAAGGCUAAAUACUCCUGACUGACCGAUAGUGAACCAGUACCGUGAGGGAAAGGCGAAAAGAACCCCGGCGAGGGGAGUGAAAAAGAACCUGAAACCGUGUACGUACAAGCAGUGGGAGCACCCUUUGGGGUGUGACUGCGUACCUUUUGUAUAAUGGGUCAGCGACUUAUAUUCUGUAGCAAGGUUAACCGUAUAGGGGAGCCGUAGGGAAACCGAGUCUUAAUUGGGCGUUAAGUUGCAGGGUAUAGACCCGAAACCCGGUGAUCUAGCCAUGGGCAGGUUGAAGGUUGGGUAACACUAACUGGAGGACCGAACCGACUAAUGUUGAAAAAUUAGCGGAUGACCUGUGGCUGGGGGUGAAAGGCCAAUCAAACCGGGAGAUAGCUGGUUCUCCCCGAAAGCUAUUUAGGUAGCGCCUCGUGAAUUCAUCUCCGGGGGUAGAGCACUGUUUCGGCUAGGGGGCCAUCCCGGCUUACCAACCCGAUGCAAACUGCGAAUACCGGAGAAUGUUAUCACGGGAGACACACGGCGGGUGCUAACGUCCGUCGUGAAGAGGGAAACAACCCAGACCGCCAGCUAAGGUCCCAAAGUCAUGGUUAAGUGGGAAACGAUGUGGGAAGGCCCAGACAGCCAGGAUGUUGGCUUAGAAGCAGCCAUCAUUUAAAGAAAGCGUAAUAGCUCACUGGUCGAGUCGGCCUGCGCGGAAGAUGUAACGGGGCUAAACUAUGCACCGAAGCUGCGGCAGCGACACUAUGUGUUGUUGGGUAGGGGAGCGUUCUGUAAGCCUGUGAAGGUGUGUCGUGAGGCAUGCUGGAGGUAUCAGAAGUGCGAAUGCUGACAUAAGUAACGAUAAAGCGGGUGAAAAGCCCGCUCGCCGGAAGACCAAGGGUUCCUGUCCAACGUUAAUCGGGGCAGGGUGAGUCGACCCCUAAGGCGAGGCCGAAAGGCGUAGUCGAUGGGAAACGGGUUAAUAUUCCCGUACUUGGUGUUACUGCGAAGGGGGGACGGAGAAGGCUAUGUUGGCCGGGCGACGGUUGUCCCGGUUUAAGCGUGUAGGUGUGUGUUCCAGGUAAAUCCGGUUCACUUUAACACUGAGGCGUGACGACGAGGCACUACGGUGCUGAAGCAACAAAUGCCCUGCUUCCAGGAAAAGCCUCUAAGCAUCAGGUAACAUCAAAUCGUACCCCAAACCGACACAGGUGGUCAGGUAGAGAAUACCAAGGCGCUUGAGAGAACUCGGGUGAAGGAACUAGGCAAAAUGGUGCCGUAACUUCGGGAGAAGGCACGCUGACACGUAGGUGAAGUGAUUUACUCAUGGAGCUGAAGUCAGUCGAAGAUACCAGCUGGCUGCAACUGUUUAUUAAAAACACAGCACUGUGCAAACACGAAAGUGGACGUAUACGGUGUGACGCCUGCCCGGUGCCGGAAGGUUAAUUGAUGGGGUCAGCGCAAGCGAAGCUCCUGAUCGAAGCCCCGGUAAACGGCGGCCGUAACUAUAACGGUCCUAAGGUAGCGAAAUUCCUUGUCGGGUAAGUUCCGACCUGCACGAAUGGCGUAAUGAUGGCCAGGCUGUCUCCACCCGAGACUCAGUGAAAUUGAACUCGCUGUGAAGAUGCAGUGUACCCGCGGCAAGACGGAAAGACCCCGUGAACCUUUACUAUAGCUUGACACUGAACAUUGAGCCUUGAUGUGUAGGAUAGGUGGGAGGCUUUGAAGUGUGGACGCCAGUCUGCAUGGAGCCGACCUUGAAAUACCACCCUUUAAUGUUUGAUGUUCUAACGUGGACCCGUGAUCCGGGUUGCGGACAGUGUCUGGUGGGUAGUUUGACUGGGGCGGUCUCCUCCUAAAGAGUAACGGAGGAGCACGAAGGUUGGCUAAUCCUGGUCGGACAUCAGGAGGUUAGUGCAAUGGCAUAAGCCAGCUUGACUGCGAGCGUGACGGCGCGAGCAGGUGCGAAAGCAGGUCAUAGUGAUCCGGUGGUUCUGAAUGGAAGGGCCAUCGCUCAACGGAUAAAAGGUACUCCGGGGAUAACAGGCUGAUACCGCCCAAGAGUUCAUAUCGACGGCGGUGUUUGGCACCUCGAUGUCGGCUCAUCACAUCCUGGGGCUGAAGUAGGUCCCAAGGGUAUGGCUGUUCGCCAUUUAAAGUGGUACGCGAGCUGGGUUUAGAACGUCGUGAGACAGUUCGGUCCCUAUCUGCCGUGGGCGCUGGAGAACUGAGGGGGGCUGCUCCUAGUACGAGAGGACCGGAGUGGACGCAUCACUGGUGUUCGGGUUGUCAUGCCAAUGGCACUGCCCGGUAGCUAAAUGCGGAAGAGAUAAGUGCUGAAAGCAUCUAAGCACGAAACUUGCCCCGAGAUGAGUUCUCCCUGAGACUUAGAGUCUCCUGAAGGAACGUUGAAGACGACGACGUUGAUAGGCCGGGUGUGUAAGCGCAGCGAUGCGUUGAGCUAACCGGUACUAAUGAACCGUGAGGCUUAACCUUACAACGCCGAAG
rnacentral:rRNA from 2 species